rnacentral:tRNA from 2 species
UUAAGCGAAGCCAAAGAAGAGGCCCAUCACUGUUAAUGAUGCCAUUGGGCUCCUGCCCCACUUAAG